UACGGAGGGGACUAGCGUUGUUCGGAAUUACUGGGCGUAAAGCGCACGUAGGCGGAUUUGUAAGUCAGGGGUGAAAUCCCGGGGCUCAACCUCGGAACUGCCUUUGAUACUGCAAAUCUCGAGUCCGGAAGAGGUGAGUGGAAUUCCUAGUGUAGAGGUGAAAUUCGUAGAUAUUGGGAGGAACACCAGUGGCGAAGGCGGCUCACUGGACUGGUACUGACGCUGAGGCGCGAAAGCGUGGGGAGCAAACAGG
rnacentral:rRNA from 1 species